GCCUGACGCCCCUGCUCCACCCAGGUUCAUUUGCCUGUUGUUAGCAGAGACAGCCUGGAGACUCCAGUGCUCGUCGGAUCCCCCUCUCGGAGCCUAUUGGAUCAGCCCCCUCCACCCCCAAAAGCGAAGCUGAGAUCGAGACAGGCAGAGGCGUUGCUGGAAGAACGGUGCAACCUGAUGCACUCCAGUGCCCUCUGCAGUCUGACAAGCCAUAGAUGCAUUCUAUUGCCCGAUGGGUUUUCCAGCACUGAACAUCAAGCACCUUGGUUCUGUACAAAACAGAGGAAGAUGUGGUCCUUGCCCUGUGGCGUGGACAGUCUGACACAUGGAGGGACCCAGAAGACGUUUCUAUUUUUUUCUCCUUUCCACAGCCUUGCUCUCUGUGGGUUUUGCAGAGAUGCGAUAAAUCGAUCUGUGAAUCGACGCCCGUACUCCACCUCGGCAGGAGAAGUAAGCAGCGUCGACAGGGGAGCCGCGGCAGUUGACUCACC